AUGUCGUGGGCUUCUCUUGUGAUCAUACUUCUGGCACACUGCACAGGGGCCAUUUCACAGGUUUUUGUGAUUCAGGAAUCUUCACUCACCACAUCUCCUGGAGGGACAGUCACAUUCACCUGUGGCUCAAGAACUGGGGCAGUUACCACCAGUAAUUAUGCCAACUGGGUCCAAGAAAAAUAUCACCAAGUACACACUGAUCUGAUAGCUGCUACCAGCAGAAGAGCCUCAGGAAUUCCUGCCCGAUUCUCAGGCUCAGUGCUUGGAGACAAGGCUGCCCUCACCAUCACAGGGGCCCAACCUGAGGAUGAAGCUGUGUAUUACUGUUCUCUGUGGAAUGGUGAUCAUUUCCACAACAAUACACGCAGAUGGGGAAGUAGAACACAAACCCACUGGUGCAGCCUUAUACCUGCUGUCUUCUUACCAUAUGGCUACAUCUCCGUAGGCUCAGAGUGCAUGAUCUCUAUUACUGUAGAGAAGAUCAUGAAGGCUAUUGUCUAA